UAGCUUGAUCCUGGCUCAGGAUGAACGCUGGCGGUAUGCUUAACACAUGCAAGUCGAACGGAGUGCUUCGGCACUUAGUGGCGGACGGGUGAGUAACACGUGAGAAUCUGCCUUCAGGCCUGGGACAACAGGGGGAAACCCUUGCUAAUACCGGAUGUGCCCUUGGGUGAAAGAUUAAUUGCCUGAAGAUGAGCUCGCGACUGAUUAGCUAGUUGGUGGGGUAAAGGCCUACCAAGGCGACGAUCAGUAGCUGGUCUGAGAGGACGAUCAGCCACACUGGGACUGAGACACGGCCCACACUCCUACGGGAGGCAGCAGUGGGGAAUUUUCCGCAAUGGGGGCAACCCUGACGGAGCAAUACCGCGUGGGGGAGGAAGGCUCUUGGGUCGUAAACCCCUUUUCUCAGGGAAGAACACAAUGACGGUACCUGAGGAAUCAGCAUCGGCUAACUCCGUGCCAGCAGCCGCGGUAAUACGGAGGAUGCAAGCGUUAUCCGGAAUCAUUGGGCGUAAAGCGUCCGUAGGUGGUGUUUCAAGUCUGCUGUUAAAGCCCGGGGCUCAACCCUGGAGGAGCAGUGGAAACUGGAGUACUGGAGUGCGGUAGGGGUAGAGGGAAUUCCCGGUGUAGCGGUGAAAUGCGUAGAUCUCGGGAAGAACACCAGUGGCGAACGCGCUCUACUGGACCGUAACUGACACUGAUGGACGAAAGCUAGGGGAGCGAAUG
rnacentral:rRNA from 1 species